rnacentral:tRNA from 1 species
AAUAAAGUGCCUGAUAAAAGGAUUAUCUUGAUAGGAUAAAACAUGCAAGUUAAAGCCUGCCUUUAUUA